rnacentral:misc_RNA from 1 species
GACAAAAGUUAACUAACUGAAGUCUUGUACGGAAGAUGGCUCAAAAUGAAAUUGAAGAUAUGUUAGAUCACCUGAGAAGGAUCAAGAGUGGAGGUAAUCUGGAUAGGGUCAAGAUCAAUCGAAUUGAGAAACUUGAAAUGGUGUUCAAGUAUCAUCAUGUUCUUUUGCCUGAUUCCAUCGUCAAACUCAAAAAGAAGGACAAAUGGAUUGCGAAAAU